AUGGGGGCAAGGGAGCCGGUGGCGAUGGAGAUACCGGUGGAGGAGGGGGCGGCGGCGAGGGUGCCGCCGCGGAUCAGGAGGAGGCUGCUCGAGGGCAGGACCAGCGGCGGCGGCGGCCCUGCCAGCGCCGAGGAAAUCGAGGCCAAGCUCAAGGAGGCCGACCACCGUAGGCAGCAAUUCUACGAUUGGUUAUCCUGCAAAGCAAGGAAGAAGCCACGGAGCCCAUCGUGCUCAUCUCAAGAGGAAGAUUACGGACAGUGCCUUGAAGCCAAGCUUCAGGCAGCUGAGCAGAAAAGGCUAAGCCUCUUGGCAAAGGCACAGAACCGGUUAGCCAAGUUGGAUGAACUCCGACAAGCAAAGGAGAAGGAAGAACUUGAGACUAGAGUCAAGACUCGUGUUCGGCAGGCAGAGGAAAACCGUAUGCGCCUUCUGCAUGCAGAUAUGCAGAGGCGGGCUGCACUAAAGGAUAGAACAGAGAGGUCCCUCGUGCAGAAGGCGACAUCUGAGAGCAAGUAUACAGAGCGGGUGCGAUCUGCUAUCCUGGAAAAGCGAAGGCUCAUGCAUAUUCAACAAGCAGCCAUGACUGUAAGCAGCCAGAGAGAAGCAGAGAGGAUUAAAUUGAAAGAACAUCUUGAAAGCAAACUUCAGAGGGCCAAGAGGAAGAGAGCUGAGUAUUUGAAGCAGCGAGGAGGUCCAUGCAGUUCUGCUCAUGCCGACUACAUCAAGCAUGCAGAUUUUCUUUCAAGAAAGCUUGCAAGGCACUGGAGAAGUUUUGUGAAGUCCAGGAAGACAACACUUGCCUUAUCUCAAGCUUAUGAUGCUUUGGGAAUUAAUGAAAAAUCUGUGAAGUCAAUGCCAUUUGAGGAAUUAGCUAUGCUGAUGGGAUCUCCCACAGCUCUUGAGGCUACUAAGGCAUUACUUGACAGGUUCGAGAGGCAAGUACCUCCGAGUAGAGACGGAAGAACAAGGGUUGCAGCAAAAAGGCCAGCCAUAACUUCUGAAACAAGCAGGUUGUCCAGAUAUUCACUGAGGGUGGCACUCUGUGCUUACAUGAUCCUGGCUCAUCCUAGUGCUGUUUUAAGUGGAGAUGGUGAGCAAGAGAAACUACUCAUGGAGUCAGCAGCAAACUUUGUCAGGGAGUUUGAGCUGUUCGUUAAGACAAUACUCGAGGGACCGGGAAGAGCCUCAAGGCAGCCAUCUCUUGAUGCUACUGAAUCAUCUAGUUGCCAGAAGUCUUAUGAUGUUGCCGGUCAAAGUAAAUUCAAGACUCGGCUGGUUAAUUUUGACAAAGCUUGGUGCACCUACCUUUACAGAUUUGUGGUGUGGAAAGUAAAAGAUGCAAGAUCAUUAGAAGGUGAUCUUGUUAGGGCUGCAUGCAAGCUUGAGCUGUCAAUGAUGCAAACAUGCAAGUUAACUGCCGACGGGCGGUCACACAACCUCACCCAUGAUAUGAAGGCCAUUCAGAAGCAGGUUUCUGACGAUCGCAAACUCCUAAGGGAGAAGGUUCAGCAUCUGAGUGGUGAUGCAGGGAUUGAGCGGAUGGACUCUGCUCUCUCAGAUGCAAGGUCAAAGUUCUUUGAAGCAAAAGAGAAUGGAAGUCCAUUGGCGACACCUGUUGCAAAUGUAUCUACUCCUCUGAGCAUUAAUUCAUCUGGAAAGCUCCCACCUUAUGAGGUUAAUGUUAGUUCCGAAACAGCAUCAAGCAGCACAUCACCAGUGAAUCUGCCUACAGAGAAUGAGCAGAUGCUCAAUGAGAUGCUUCAUGAGGACGGUGGUGCGAUUGCUGGCAAUUCUAAUGAUGCCCGCACCAUCAAGAAGGAUUUCCAAGACAAAGUGAGGGAAACAAUGGAGAAAGCUUUCUGGGAUGUGGUUACUGACUCAAUGAGACGAGACAAACCUGACUACAGCCAACUGAUCAACCUGGUAAAGGAAGUGAGGGAUUCGUUGCACGACUUGGCUCCCAAGGGAUGGAAGGAGGAAAUCUAUGAGAACAUUGACCUCGAAAUUUUGUCCCAGGUACUCGAGUCAGGCUCCCAGGACACCCAAUAUCUGGGGCAGAUUUUGCAGUACUCUCUGGAUAUGGUCAGAAAACUGUCUGCUGCUGCAAAGGAUGACGAGAUGAAGGCAAGUCAUGACAAAUUAUUGAGCGAGUUGGCUGCAAGUUCUGAAGAUAAUGAUAAUGCAAUCAGCUCAUUUGUCAUUGCUGUCAUCAAGGGUCUGCGUUUCACUCUGGAAGAAAUAAAGCAACUGCAAGUAGAAGUGAGCAAGGCAUAUGUUCAGCUGAUGCAACCGACGAUAAAAGGCUCGGCUGGAGUGGAGUACCUGCAGAAGGCUUUCGGCGAUCGCUAUGGACCUCCUGCUAAUGCGUCAGCUUCUCUCCCUGUAACUCUGCAGUGGAUUUCAGCAUCAAAGAGCAUCGUGGACGCAGAAUGGAGGGAACAUCUGGGCUCCCUUUCAGUUCUGCCAGCAGCAAAUCAUGCUCAGCCCCUUGUUACAGUGCUCCGAGCUGGCCAUGGAGCUCGAACAGCUGCUGUACCUUCAGCAGGCAGUUCAGGUUUACCUGAGUGCAAGGGAGAAAAGGUUGACAAGCUUGUGAGGGUUGGCUUGUUGCAGCUUAUCAGUGGUAUGGAGGGCUUGCAAUUGCAGUCAACUCCUGAGAGCUUCCACCUUAACUUUCUGAGAUUGAGGACCGUGCAGGGCCAAUUUCAAGAAGUGAUUGUAAUUUCUACGAGCAUGCUCGUCCUGCGUCAAGUCCUGAUGAGUGAGAAUUCUAAGAUCACUCCUCCGGAGCUGGAGACUGUCAUCUCAGAACUCUUCGGCGCUCUGGUGAAGCUGCUGGAUAACUCCCCCGAAGCAGGCACUGAAGAGAUCGUGGAGGCGAUGAUGAGCGCGUCGGCCUCAGCCGGCUCUUUGUCGGACGCCAAGAUUCAGGCCAGGAGGCAGAUAAUAACCCGGGUGGUCCUCAAGAGCCUCCAAGCGGACGACGUCGUCUUCAAGAAGGUCUCCCGGGCGGUCCACUGCGCCUUCCGCGGCGUCCUCCUCGGCGGCAGCAGUGCCAAGGGCCAGAAGCUAGUGGAUGCAGCCCUACGCCUCAUCGGCGCGGGGAAGCUUGCUGACCGUGUGGUGAAGGCGGCUGAAGUGCUCAUCAGGGUGGCCCCGGUCUCGGAGAAGGUCCACGGCCCGUGGUACAAAGCGCUCGCCUGA
rnacentral:rRNA from 1 species